AGUGAACGCUGGCGGUAGGCCUAACACAUGCAAGUCGAACGGCAGCACAGUAAGUGCUUGCUCUUACGGGUGGCGAGUGGCGGACGGGUGAGGUAUACAUCGGAAUCUACUCUUUCGUGGGGGAUAACGUAGGGAAACUUACGCUAAUACCGCAUACGACCUACGGGUGAAAGCAGGGGAUCUUCGGAUCUUGCGCGAUUGAAUGAGCCGAUGUCGGAUUAGCUAGUUGGCGGGGUAAAGGCCCACCAAGGCGACGAUCCGUAGCCGGACUGAGAGGAGGAUCGGCCGCACUGGAGCGGAGACACGGUCCAGACUCCUACGAGAGGCAGCAGUGGGGAAUAUUGGGCAAUGGGCGCGAGCCUGGUCCAGCCAUACCGCGUGGGUGGAGGAGGCCUUCGGGUUGUAAAGCCCUUUUGUUGGGAAAGAAAAGCAGCAGGUUAAUACCCAGCUGUUCUGACGGUACCCAAAGAAGAAGCACCGGCUAACUACGUG
rnacentral:rRNA from 1 species